rnacentral:rRNA from 1 species
UCUCCGUUGGUGAACCAGCGGAGGGAUCAUUACCGAGUUUACAACUCCCAAACCCAUGUGAACAUACCUAUUGUUGCUUCGGCGGGAUUGCCCCGGGCGCCUCGUGUGCCCCGGAUCAGGCGCCCGCCUAGGAAACUCAACUCUUGUUUUAUUUUGGAAUCUUCUGAGUAGUUUUUACAAAUAAAUAAAAACUUUCAACAACGGAUCUCUUGGUUCUGGCAUCGAUGAAGAACGCAGCGAAAUGCGAUAAGUAAUGUGAAUUGCAGAAUUCAGUGAAUCAUCGAAUCUUUGAACGCACAUUGCGCCCGCCAGUAUUCUGGCGGGCAUGCCUGUCUGAGCGUCAUUUCAACCCUCAUGCCCCUAGGGCGUGGUGUUGGGGAUCGGCCAAAGCCCGCGAGGGACGGCCGGCCCCUAAAUCUAGUGGCGGACCCGUCGUGGCCUCCUCUGCGAAGUAGUGAUAUUCCGCAUCGGAGAGCGAUGAGCCCCUGCCGUUAAACCCCCAACUUUCCAAGGUUGACCUCAGAUCAGGUAGGAAUACCCGCUGAACUUAA